UGCGGUGUGUGUUGUGCAAUAAUCUGUUAACAACUGAACGAGUAGGCGACUGAAAUUGCUGACUGACCGUCGCCUGCUCUAAGUAGACAGAAAGUCCAAACAAGAUAAAUCUCUCUUGUAUUGCAUUAUAUAGUAUCGAAGUUGCAGUCAAAUAUCUGUGAACAAGUGUUCAAAUGUAUGGAGUAUUUUAACAUAGAGAUGGAAGAACUAUCUUGGCAUGGGAAGUGACUAUUCCACAGCUUAAAUGAAACCCCAACAUUCAUUUCUUUUCCCUUAAAUCCUCACUAUUAUUUAUUGUGGUUGUUGUGUCAUUUAUUUAUCCCGAAACUAGCUUCUUUAUUGAUCACAUCAGCAACAAUUUCCUUCCGAGUAUAUGUUUGAGAAGGCUUCAUAUAAAAACAGUGUUCUUCACGAUUUUUUCCUGCUUGUAUAAAAUUCAUUUACUUCAAGUUGACUAAAA